rnacentral:rRNA from 1 species
GAUGAACGCUGGCGGCGUGCCUAAUACAUGCAAGUCGAGCGAACGGACGAGAAGCUUGCUUCUCUGAUGUUAGCGGCGGACGGGUGCGUAACACGUGGAUAACCUACCUAUAAGACUGGGAUAACUUCGGGAAACCGGGGCUACUACCGGAUAAUAUUUUGAACCGCAUGGUUCAAAAGUGAAAGACGGUCUUGCUGUCACUAAUAGAUGGAUCCGCGCUGCAUUAGCUAGUUGGUAAGGUAACGGCUUACCAAGGCAACGAUGCAUAGCCGACCUGAGAGGGUGAUCGGCCACACUGGAACUGAGACACGGUCCAGACUCCUACGGGAGGCAGCAGUAGGGAAUCUUCCGCAAUGGGCGAAAGCCUGACGGAGCAACGCCGCGUGAGUGAUGAAGGUCUUCUGAUCGUAAAACUCUGUUAUUAGGGAAGAACAUAUGUGUAAGUAACUGUGCACAUCUUGACGGUACCUAAUCAGAAAGCCACGGCUAACUACGUG